UACGAAGGGGGCUAGCGUUGCUCGGAAUUACUGGGCGUAAAGGGCGCGUAGGCGGAUAGUUUAGUUGGGGGUGAAAGCCCGGGGCUCAACCUCGGAACUGCCUUCAAUACUGGCUAUCUUGAGUACGGGAGAGGUGUGUGGAACUCCGAGUGUAGAGGUGAAAUUCGUAGAUAUUCGGAAGAACACCAGUGGCGAAGGCGACACACUGGCCCGUUACUGACGCUGAGGCGCGAAAGCGUGGGGAGCAAAC
rnacentral:rRNA from 1 species